GAUGAACGCUGGCGGCGUGCUUAACACAUGCAAGUCGAACGAAGCAUUUGCGACAGAUUUUUUCGGAAUGAAGUUGCUUAUGACUGAGUGGCGGACGGGUGAGUAACGCGUGGGUAACCUGCCUUGUACUGGGGGAUAGCAGCUGGAAACGGCUGGUAAUACCGCAUAAGCGCACAAUGUUGCAUGACAUGGUGUGAAAAACUCCGGUGGUAUAAGAUGGACCCGCGUCUGAUUAGCUAGUUGGUGAGAUAACAGCCCACCAAGGCGACGAUCAGUAGCCGACCUGAGAGGGUGACCGGCCACAUUGGGACUGAGACACGGCCCAGACUCCUACGGGAGGCAGCAGUGGGGAAUAUUGCACAAUGGAGGAAACUCUGAUGCAGCGACGACGCGUGAGUGAAGAAGUAAUUCGUUAUGUAAAGCUCUAUCAGCAGGGAAGAUAGUGACGGUACCUGACUAAGAAGCUCCGGCUAAAUACGUG
rnacentral:rRNA from 1 species